UCGCGCUCGCUCCCGGGUCUGCUGCACGCGUCCGCUGCCGCUGCCGCUGCCGGGCCGACGCCUCCGACCGCUCUCUCGUCCUCCACCCCCGCCCCGCCGCGCUCCGGGCAGCGUCCCGCGCGGAGAAGGGGGCGGGCGGCGGAGAGGUGAGGAGCGAGCCUGCAGCGAGCGAGGCCUUCGAAGUUGAGCAGCGGAGUGCGGGGAGACCCUCCGCUGCCCCCUCUUUAAAGCCGCGCGCGCACACACCGAUCCUCCACACAGAUAUCCUUCCUCCGCGCGCCGAGGAGUCCCGACGCCGCCGCCGGCUUCGCAGGCGCUGAGGGUGAGAGGCACGCUAAACUGCUCGGCUCCGCCACAUAACGAAGCGACAAUAAAGCCGGCGGAGCGUUUCCGUCCGACCAGGCCCUGGCGGAGGUCGAAUGGCAAAUGAACAACGGACCGUGCGCCCACAAUGCACCGGGACUGGACCAGGCGGUGCCUUUCACGCGAAGAGGUUACGACCACGGACACAACCUCCUUUGAUGCAUUGUGCGAGGCAGCACCUCGGGCCCCGGACAGUAGUCAUUUCACAGAAAAUGCACCGCCCCGAGUGUCUUAUUGCUGUGAUGAAAUGGAAAUUUAAAUAAAAGGUCGAACACGUGCGUUCACUGGGAAGUAUUGACAUGGGUGUUACAUCACCAGCAGCCAAUCAGAUAACUCCAGUCGUGUUUAUACUUCUACAACCACCUUAUUACAUGUAAUUUUAAUGUAAAGAAUGACAGUACUACCCUGCCACAAAAGGAUUUUGGCUUUGAGUUAUUUUUCCGGUAAUAAACAUAUUGUCACCUGGCCACCAGUGACCAAGAGCUUGAAAUUCUGAUAUAGUUCUUC
rnacentral:lncRNA from 1 species